rnacentral:rRNA from 1 species
CCAGGCUUGAACUGCGAGUGACAAACUCCGAAAGGAGUCUUCCGCAAGGACACUCGUAGAGGUGCUGCAUGGCUGUCGUCAGCUCGUGUCGUGAGAUGUUGGGUUAAGUCCCGCAACGAGCGCAACCCUUGUUUGCUGUUGCCAUCAGGUAAUGCUGGGCACUCUGCAAAGACUGCCGGUGAUAAACCGGAGGAAGGUGGGGAUGACGUCAAGUCAGCAUGGCCUUUAUGUCUGGGGCUACACACGUGCUACAAUGGCCGAUACAAACCGUCGCGAGCCCGUAAGGGGGAGCUAAUCGGAGAAAGUCGGUCUCAGUUCGGAUUGUAGGCUGCAACUCGCCUGCAUGAAGUUGGAAUCGCUAGUAAUCGCGGAUCAGCACGCCGCGGUGAAUACGUUCCCGGGCCUUGUACACACCGCCCGUCACAUCACGAAAGCCGGUUGUACUAGAAGUCGCCAUACCAACCCGCAAGGGAGGGAGGCGCCUAAGGUAUGGUCGGUGAUUGGGGUG